UACGUAGGGGGCAAGCGUUGUUCGGAUUUACUGGGCGUAAAGCGCACGUAGGCGGAUUGUUAAGUCGGGGGUGAAAUCCUGGAGCUCAACUCCAGAACUGCCUUCGAUACUGGCGAUCUCGAGUCCGGGAGAGGUGAGUGGAAUUCCUAGUGUAGAGGUGAAAUUCGUAGAUAUUAGGAAGAACACCAGUGGCGAAGGCGGCUCACUGGCCCGGUACUGACGCUGAGGCGCGAAAGCGUGGGGAGCAAACAGG
rnacentral:rRNA from 1 species